UCCGUGUUUGUGUCGUUUUCGUGUUAUACCCGAUAUCUUAACGGAUCAUGUCGUGUAACACCUGUUAAAAUAAACGGGCGAAAUGAUCCGACCCGAUAAUAUUGACAGGAAAUAUGAUUCGACCCGUUACCCGUUAAGGAAAAUAUAUUUUAAACCAAUAAAUAAUCAAAUAAAAACAUAAUACUAAAUAAGUAUAUACAUACCAUAUUGUCACAUCCAUGGAAGAAAAUGCCGAUACUAUCGGCGAUAUUUCGCCGAUAUUAUCGGUUUUUCGGGUGAUGGAUAUUCUAAGUGGUAUCCGAAUGGUUUUCGGCCAAAUAUCGCGAUAUUAUCGAUAAUAUCGAUAAUAUCGCGAUAUUUUGGAAAUAUCGGCGAAAUUUUUUUGAGUUUGGUGCAAUCGGACUCCGAGGCGAUGUCGGAGAAGAACGCCGGAGACGGUGUGCCUAUUCCCGGGCCGAUUUCGUCCCAAAAACCUUGCAAAAACACGAAUUUUAACAUCAAUUUCACAUAUAAACUUCAGAUUUCACGCAUGCAUAAACGAUUCAACAUAUGUGAAGUCAGUUUAGGGUUUAGGGUUUCAAUGGAAUCUCACCUGACGAAGACGAAGACGAACCAGAUGACUGAACGUGAUCCUUGCUCAGCGGCGCACCGCCAGAGACGACUGAGCCAACUCCGACUUCGCCAGAGCCACGAUCAACGGCGAAGGGAGAAAAGAGAUCAAGAGAUCUCUGUGUGUGUGUGUGUGUUUGGGAGAAGAGAGAUCGGAGAAGGGAGAAGAGAGAUCGGAGAAUGGAGAAGAGAGAUCUCCGAUCUGUGUGUGUGUGUGUGUGUGUUUGGGAGAAGAGAGAUCUCCGAUCUCUGUAGAUGGAGGGUGUGUGCGUGUGUGUGUGUGUGGAAUGAGGGAGAAGUGUGUGUGUGUUAUCCGAGAGAAAGAAAAAAAUACAUUGAGGGUGUGUGUGUGUGUGUGUGU
rnacentral:lncRNA from 1 species